AAAUUUUUAUGUUUUAAAAAAUUUAUUAUAAAUUUAUUUUACAUAUAAAUUUUAGUAUGAAAUUUUAAUUAUUUAAAUAAUAAUUAAUUACGUAAUAUAGUAAUUGAAAUUAAAAAUUUAAGAAAUUAAGAUUUAGUAAUAUAAAAAUUAAUAACUAAUUUUGUGCCAGCAGUUGCGGUUAUACAAAAAUUAAAUUAAAUUAUUUCAGUAUUUAAUAAAUAAAAUAUAAUUAAAAUAAAUAUUAAAUUAUUAGGUGAAAUUUUAAUUUAAUUAAAUUUUAAGUUACUUUUAUGGUUUAAUAAAUUUAAUAAUAAACUAGGAUUAGAUACCCUAUUAUUAAAAAUUUAAUUAAUAAUGCUAAAAUAGUAGGUAAUAAAUAUUGAAACUUAAAUAAUAUGGCGGUAUUUUAGUUCAUUUAGAGGAAUCUGUUUAAUAAUUGAUAAUCCGCGAAUAAAUUUACUUAAUUUAAUAUUUUAUAUAUCGUUGUUAGAAAAAUAUUUUAUAAUAAAAAUAAUAUUUUAAAAUUUAAAAAAUAAAUUAAUUCAGAUCAAGAUGUAGAUUAUAAUUAAGAAUAUAAUGGAUUACAAUAAAAUAAUUUAAAAUGGAUAAUUAAUUUUAAAAUUAAUUUAAAAGUGGAUUUAAAUGUAAUUUUAAUUAAUUUAUUAAAAUGAUUAAAAAUUGAAAUAUGUACAUAUUGCCCGUCACUUUCAUUUUAAAAUUGGAAUAAGUCGUAACAAAGUAGAAGUACUGGAAAGUGUUUCUAGAAUGAA
rnacentral:ncRNA from 1 species